rnacentral:rRNA from 1 species
UACGUAGGGGGCAAGCGUUGUUCGGAAUUACUGGGCGUAAAGAGUGUGUAGGCGGUGCUCUAAGUUCGGUGUGAAAUCCCCAGGCUCAACCUGGGAACUGCGUCUGAUACUGGUUGGCUUGAAUUCGGGAGAGGGAUGCAGAAUUCCAGGUGUAGCGGUGAAAUGCGUAGAUAUCUGGAGGAAUACCGGUGGCGAAGGCGGCAUCCUGGACCGAGAUUGACACUGAGGAGCGAAAGCCAGGGGAGCAAACGGG